GAUGAACGCUGGCGGCGUGCCUAAUACAUGCAAGUCGAGCGAACAGACGAGGAGCUUGCUCCUCUGACGUUAGCGGCGGACGGGUGAGUAACACGUGGAUAACCUCCCUAUAAGACUGGGAUAACUUCGGGAAACCGGAGCUAAUACCGGAUAAUAUAUUGAACCGCAUGGUUCAAUAGUGAAAUACGGUUUUGCUGUCACUUAUAGAUGGAUCCGCGCCGCAUUAGCUAGUUGGGAAGGUAACGGCUUACCAAGGCAACGAUGCGUAGCCGACCUGAGAGGGGGAUAGGCCACACGGGAACGGAGACACGGUCAAGACGACUAAGGGAGGCAGCAGUAGGGAAGCUUACGCAAUGGGCGAAAGCAUGACGGAGCAACGCAGCGUGAGUGAUGAAGGUGUUCGGAGCGUAAAACUCUGUUAUUAGGGAAGAACAAAUGUGUAAGUAACUAUGCACGUCUUGACGGUACCUAAUCAGAAAGCCACGGCUAACUACGUG
rnacentral:rRNA from 1 species